UACAGAGACUGCAAGCGUUAUUCGGAUUCACUGGGCGUAAAGGGUGCGCAGGCGGCCAAGUGUGUUAGGCGUGAAAGCCUGAGGCUUAACCUCAGAAUUGCACCUAAAACUACAUGGCUAGAGCAUUGGAGAGGGUAGCGGAAUUCACGGUGUAGCAGUGAAAUGCGUAGAUAUCGUGAGGAACACCAGAGGCGAAGGCGGCUACCUGGACAAUUGCUGACGCUCAGGCACGAAAGCGUGGGGAGCAGAAGGG
rnacentral:rRNA from 1 species